rnacentral:lncRNA from 1 species
CCAGAACAAAAAAAUAUCAACAGCUGAGAGCUAAUUGCAAGUUGCUGGCUCUAAUCCCAAAUGAAUGCUGUGGCAGAGGUGGAAUUUUAUUGAUAAAUGCAGAUGUGUGCACUGAAGACAUCUACAUCUGGCUUCUGGCUCACUGGACGAUCAGUGAAGAACUAGUCAAUAGAAUCCAGAGGGCAAUUCAUUGCCUCCUAAAUUAGACAUAAGAAGUAGGAUAGAUGAUUGGCACCCUAAAAGGGCAUAUUUAUCUCCAGUGACUAUAAAUGGAGCCCCAGGGACUUGCUUGAUUUUAUAUGUCUACAUUCUUGAUGUCUGAAAUCAGGAAAGAUGAGCAUGGAUCAUUGGUCACUGAUAGAGUCUCAACACCUGACUUGAAGGACCAGUGACUUGACAUUCGUUUAUUGUCAAUAGUAAAGUCAAUGGUUGAUUUAGAACCAGGAUUUCAACAGCUGCAUAUCAGGCUGAAUGCUCUGGGGAUUUGUUAUUCUGUGCAACAAAGCCUAAUAUGCCUUCCUGCUGUGAAGGACCGAAGUGGAAUGUACUUGUGUGAGAAGAGAUAAAAGCAUCAAGAUCUAGUAUUCUUAAAUCCUCUCCAUCCAGACGACUUUGUCACACUGUAUUUAAUUUAUGAGCCUUGACAGGGUUGGGAAAAAUGAAUGAAUGAAGAUGUCGCAUUUAUUCAAGCUAAACAUGCCUAAUAAAGCACAGGCUUCAACUUGUG